UCCCCUCCGAGGCCUACAAACACGUCGAGGAGUUCCUCUCCGGCCUCAAGGCUAAGUCCUCGGAGAAAGCUCCGGAGAGGGUCGUGGAGGUGUUCGACAUCUGCUCCCAGUUCACGAAGGCCCUCCUCGCGCUCACGCCAGCGAAGAAGCCGAUU
rnacentral:RNase_MRP_RNA from 1 species